rnacentral:rRNA from 1 species
UACGUAGGGUGCGAGCGUUAAUCGGAAUUACUGGGCGUAAAGCGUGCGCAGGCGGUUGUGCAAGACAGAUGUGAAAUCCCCGGGCUUAACCUGGGAACUGCAUUUGUGACUGCACGGCUAGAGUGUGUCAGAGGGAGGUAGAAUUCCACGUGUAGCAGUGAAAUGCGUAGAUAUGUGGAGGAAUACCGAUGGCGAAGGCAGCCUCCUGGGAUAACACUGACGCUCAUGCACGAAAGCGUGGGGAGCAAAC